GAGAAUGCCAGCGGUUGCUGUGCAUGUGAAUUAUUGAGCAUUCCUGCAGCCCUGAUGUUUGGUACAGUGUGUACAGACAAGACCUGUGGUGCAGCUGCCUCCUACAGAACAUGACACCAGCUCCUGUGAACUAAAUUAAUGUAGAGAGAAAAUAACAUGAAAACUUCCCACUGACACUGUAAACCAGAACGCUGCAGACAGGAGUUGCAGGAGGUGUGCUGUAAUGCAGGCAACGGGAUCCACUCAUGAAGGAGACACACAAAAGUACUUUCUGAGAUUUGUAAGAACUCUUGAGAGUCCUUCACAGAGCUUCUGGUGGUCAUGGCACUGACAGACUCCACUUUCUCAGCCAAGCCACAGGUCCAUUCUCAAGUCCUCCAGAAUUCUGCCUGAGGCAGGACAGGCUCAGACCCUGUCACACUCCUGGCUUUGAGGUCCAGAUGCAGAAGUAGCAGCAGAGUGGCAGAGCAGAAGACAUUAACUUGCAGGGAGAGGCAGUGAAUAAAUCCUGGAGGCAAUGCUGCAGGAGCUGCUGCAGCACUGAGGCUACGGAGUGACAGUGACACACAGGAACACAGAGCUACCUGCUGCAGCAGCACACCCCAGGCAGUGCCCAGAGGUGACCUGGGAUCCCCUGCACAGAGCUGAAUGUGUGCCAGAGACAGCCACUGUCACAGCCCAAGGUUCAAAUGACUUCAGUGGGAUGUGUCCCAUUGUAAAGCUGUCAGAAAUGUUCUUGUCUGCCCAGUAAGUUUAGUGAGCUCCAAACUCAGAGCUUUCAAACACAUAAUCUUGCUCUCAGCUACAGAAACCUUUUCUUUGAGGACAGCACAGUUAAGUGCUCUCUUCUAGACUUCUGGCACUGAACUUUCUAUCAUAAAACAGAACUCUGGGGUUGCAUUUAGGCACAUUACGAGUUAUUACUGAGGCACAGCCCGUUGAAGACAAAAUAUUCUGCUCUCCUCAGCAACUCAAACAGGAGAUGACACGAGGUAAGCAAGUAUCCAGUUUAUCUAAAUUAUCACUAAAAACAGCCAUCAAGAGCAAUCCACAACAGGGUUAAAGUUUGAUAAUCAAAGCAGGGCUUCAACUAUUG